CGUGUUCCUCUUAGGCCCUCCACCCGGUUUGGCUAGCUCGUCCUCUGGCUGGGCCGCAUGGGGUUCCCUUCUCUUCCCUUAUUGUCACCUCCCUUACUUCCCUCUGCAAGAAGGAUUCCUCUCGUGAUCCCUGCCCAUCUCCCCAACCAUCUUCCCGGGUUCCAGAGCAGCUGUUGCUACCUAGGUGCUGACCCUUCCUCUAUACGAGCCUGCACCUUAGUCAUAGCCGAUCAGUGAUGGGUGUGGACGCCUGACCCAAUUGGUCAAUCUGCGUUUCUCUCUUGAGAGCUUGAAACAUGACCCAGAAGGACAAGGACUAAAAGUCAGUGGAGCUGAGUCAAAGUUUGGUUGGUUGAAUUUCUCAUGCUGUCCCCCCAAACCGUAAUACGCUGAGAUGAUAUGAUAGGACAUGACUCCCAUGGUUGUUAUUUUGUGUGGCAGGGUUUGGAGAUAGGGAGAUGGUCUGGGUGAGCCCGAGCUAACCAUUUCUUCUCUUAAAAGCAGCAGAAGUUGGGGCAAUCUGAAGCACGAGGGGGAUUUGACACCUCACUGAUGGCUUGAGGCUGGACGGGGCCAUAUGCAGAGAAACUGCAGUGGCCCCGGGAGCUGACGGAGGCCCCCAGCUGACAGCAGGUGAGGAAGUGGGGAACUCAGGUCUUAUAAUGCUAAUGAGGUGGUUUCAGUCAACAACCUAAAUGAGCUUAGAAUCUCCCCAGAGCUUUCAGAUAAGAGCCCAGCGUGGCUGACGCCUUGAUGUUGGCCUUGGGAGAUGCUGAGCCGAGCACCCAGUUGAGCCAAGCCAGACAUCCGACCUACAGAACCGUGAGCUAAGAAAUUCAGGUGGCCUUCAGUCACCACGUCUGCGGUAACGUAUUACAGCAGCCAUAGAAAACGCAUGCCCGGGACCAGGGCAACACAUUUGGAGGGGGUGGCGACCCCCUACAACCCAGGGCCUCAGCACCUCCUCGUUUUUUCCUUCCUUCACAUUCUUCACUUGGCCCUUCGAGCUAUGCAAGUCUCUUGCAGUGAAAUUCCCUCUUGUGGCUGAAGUCAGUAGAUUUGGUUUGCUGUUGCUUAUAACCAGUGCCUUGGACCCUCCAGCAGCCUCCACCGCCCACCGCCCACCCUGCGAUCACAGCCUUCCCUCACCCGGUCACAACGCUCGCUGGGCCCUCUGCCUUCUGAUUCAACUCGAGUUUCUCAGUGCGCUCUUGAGGGGGGGGGAUCUCGGGGGACUGGUCCUCUGACCCCCUGAGUCAACGCUUUCAUCCACCCCAGGCCUGGGCCGGGGAGCCAGCCGUCCUCUCUCCUGCUCCAGCUCCUGUUGAUUUAGUUGAGAACAAUGACCGUGCGUAUUUAGAGGGAG
rnacentral:lncRNA from 1 species